UACCGCAUGGUACAGUGUGAAAAACUCCGGUGGUGUGAGAUGGACCCGCGUCUGAUUAGCUAGUUGGCAGGGCAACGGCCUACCAAGGCGACGAUCAGUAGCCGACCUGAGAGGGUGACCGGCCACAUUGGGACUGAGACACGGCCCAAACUCCUACGGGAGGCAGCAGUGGGGAAUAUUGCACAAUGGGGGAAACCCUGAUGCAGCGACGCCGCGUGAGCGAAGAAGUAUUUCGGUAUGUAAAGCUCUAUCAGCAGGGAAGAAGAAAUGACGGUACCUGACUAAGAAGCACCGGCUAAAUACGUGCCAGCAGCCGCGGUAAUACGUAUGGUGCAAGCGUUAUCCGGAUUUACUGGGUGUAAAGGGAGCGCAGGCGGAAGGCUAAGUCUGAUGUGAAAGNCCCGGGGCUCAACCCCGGUACUGCAUUGGAAACUGGUCAUCUAGAGUGUCGGAGGGGUAAGUGGAAUUCCUAGUGUAGCNGGUGAAAUGCGUAGAUAUUAGGAGGAACACCAGUGGCGAAGGCGGCUUACUGGA
rnacentral:rRNA from 1 species